rnacentral:rRNA from 1 species
UGGGGAAUAUUGGACAAUGGGCGCAAGCCUGAUCCAGCCAUGCCGCGUGCGUGAUGAAGGCCUUAGGGUUGUAAAGCGCUUUCACCCGUGAAGAUGAUGACGGUAGCGGGGGAAGAAGCCCCGGCUAACUCCGUGCCAGCAGCCGCGGUAAUACGGAGGGGGCGAGCGUUGUUCGGAAUUACUGGGCGUAAAGGGCGCGCAGGCGGCCGAUUGCGUCAGGUGUGAAAGCCCCGGGCUCAACCUGGGAACUGCACUUGAUACGGGCCGGCUUGAGGGCGAGAGAGGAGUGUGGAAUUCCCAGUGUAGAGGUGAAAUUCGUAGAUAUUGGGAAGAACACCAGUGGCGAAGGCGGCACUCUGGCUCGCACCUGACGCUGGGGCGCGAAAGCGUGGGGAGCAAACAGGAUUAGAUACCCCUGUAGUCC